UUUGCUUGGCAUUUGCUUGACUUAAUUUUGCUUGAUUCCGUAAAAAUGAGCGAGCAAAUGAUUUUGCUAUAGUAAGCUCGAGCGAUUGCUAACUGCGCCUGCUAGAAUUAACCGUCUUAACUAUUUCCUCGUGAAAGAAAUUCUGUAGGGAUCUGCGAUCGUUUCCUAACAAUUACAGAAUUAUUUACUUCGCAGAAAGUCCACGACAUAAAAGAGAGGAGUCCUUUCGUCGGCGUACUACUCACUCUUUUCCCGGACUCUUUUUUUGUUAUAUUACGUAACGUCUCAGAAUGCGAGGUGAGCGACAAUCUCCAACCCACAACCCUCACUAUAUCUCAAAGGGAUAAACGAGUAUAGGCUCUCAGGUACCUUAAUGACUUCUAUAAUUGGGCGAUAACAUCGUUUACCUCCUGGAACAAAAUGGCGCUUUGAAAUUAAAUUCAUAUUUUGGAUAAUUCAGUGCUAUAGAGAGAGGAGAGCAGAGGUGAUCAGAAUGAAUCGAGACAGAAUAUCCUAUUACUAUGACCAAGAAAGUUCUGGAAAUCCAGUCUUCACAGUUCAAAAUGAUGUCAACCGUCAUAGCACCAGGCACAACCAGCACUCAUCAAGACCGAAUCAUGACCGGGAAGAACCAACAUAUCACGCCAAUUGGAAGUUUAAUAGAAAUUCUUCUGAAUCUGAUCGACGACAUUCAGAAUUGAGAUUAAACGCAAACAUAAGCAAAUUUAAUUCUUCUCAUGAAACUAAUUUCAGAGAGAAUUCAUCUAAGAGACGCGGUCAGAUGACACCUUCAAAUCCAACCGAUUUUAAGCAACACUCGAUGAAACAAGCACUCCACAAUCAAAACUAUUUCCCGGAGAUGACCUAUAUGGAAGGGAAUGAAACAAACAGAAGUCGGAAAAUUGCAAUUUGUUCAGUAAUUGUUCUCAUUGUUCUCUCAAUGCUAAUCAUCCUUGGAGCCGGUAUUUAUGUCAUCCUUUCAUUCUUAGGUGAGUAUAUGCCCCUCAUGUCCCCAUGGGGGCAUGAGGGGCAUCUUUUCCUUUGGUAUUUUACACUUAUUUCCUUGAUGAGUUUCGAUACCAAUAACUGCGUGGAUCUCAGUCUAGUCUAUUACGCGUUUUUUUUAAUAAAUAUUUUCAAAUGACAAGGAUCAAUCUAGGUGUCAUAAGAUUGUUCGUGCAGAAUAUUAUUAAUCACCUUUUGUUUUAUUUGGGAAAAUAUAUGCAUAUCUUAAGAUAGAAGCGAUAUUAUUAUUAAUUGUUUAUCAUUUAUAAUCCCAAUUUUCUGGGUUUCUCCCUUAUCCAGAAUUUAAUUAGCACAAAGCGUGUGGAGAUCGUGUAACUUUCAAUGUUAUCGAUUUUGCGGAUCGAAAAAUAAUCAGAGAAAUCGUCUGCUUUUCAAGUUUGCUGCUCCAAAUAUUAAUGUUGAUUGAAAGACAUUCUGGAACAGGGCUUCAGCCAACAAAAUCAAAUCCAGGGAAACUAUUUUGUAAAUAAUCAGAGACGUCUUGUCAAAACAUCUGUAUGAUUUAAAUAAAAUGCACUUUAUGCAGUAAUAUCAAGCGACGGACACUAGUUGCAUCAUUAAAUUUUUAUGACUGGAGUUCCAGGGGCAACAAAUUUAUUCCAAAAGAUGUUCAUGUCUAAAGAAACUAAAAAGAAGUAUGACAGUAAUGUUGCCUUUGAUGUCCGCCUUUCGAAGCCGCCAGUUUCAUGGGGGAAAUCCGAGGAGUGAUUUUUAGAAAUAUAAUCAUUUUGUACUGAUAUUUCAUCUUUUAUAUCAAUAAACACACUGGGAUCUGAACACGCGAUAAAACUUAAAUAUCGAAGUAAAAUUGGGCCGAUAAAUUUGCCCAGAUGGUAUUAAGUAACCCUUAAUUAGUAAAAAGUAAAAAUUUGACCUAUUAUCUAAACUAGAUUUUGACUCUUUUCCGAUUGUUCCCGAGUCCCGACAAAUGAAAAUUUAAAAUGCGGUCGUUUGAAUAUUGUUGCUUAUCAUUAAUUUUUAUUUGUCAGAUUAGUGCCCGUACCUGCCCAGUCGAGUAAAAUUUUAGUCAUAUUCCAGGAAAUAUUGCAUAAUUUCUUUUCGCAUGCCCCCGAAAAAUAGCGAUAAAUUUUUAGAUGCAUUACUUUUGCAAACAAAGAACUUAAUAAUAAAGAGUGUUUGUUUCCAUGUGCAAUUAUAGAAUCCAGUCAAUAUGAAAUGUUUAUGCAUUUAAAUAAACAACGUUAUGCUAUUAUCAGAUGGUAAAGCCUAGUAAAAAAAAACAAAAACAUAUAAUUAUCAUUAUUGACUACAUUCAUAAAUUAUAUUGUUGAAAACACUAAGAUGACUUGAUAUAUUAUGAUUAACAAUUACAUGUGUUAUGAAAUUAAAAUUAGAAUAUAAGUUUAUAUAAUGUUGUCAAAAGAAGUGCACACAAAAUACAGUGUAUGUCCUUUAUAGACCCUAUUCUCAAUGCAAAUAUUCAAUUGCUGUUU